rnacentral:tRNA from 1 species
AUUUCAGUAGCUUAUAAAGAGUUUAACAUUGAAGAUGUUGAGGAGGUUAUUAACCCUGAAAUA